rnacentral:rRNA from 1 species
GAUGAACGCUAGCUACAGGCUUAACACAUGCAAGUCGAGGGACCGGCGCACGGGUGAGUAACACGUAUCCAACCUGCCCUUUACUCGGGGAUAGCCUUUCGAAAGAAAGAUUAAUACCCGAUGUAAAGGAUGGGGAUGCGUUCCUUUAGGUUGUUGGUGAGGUAACGGCUCACCAAGCCUUCGGUGGAUAGGGGUUCUGAGAGGAAGGUCCCCCCGAUUGGAACUGAGGCACGGUCCAAACUCCUAGGGGAGGCAGCAGUGAGGAAUAUUGGUCAAUGGGCGUUGGCCUGACCCAGCCAAGUAGCGUGAAGGAUGAAGGCUUAUGGGUCGUAAACUUCUUUUAUAUAAGAAUAUGUCUUAUAUGAAUAAGGAUCGGCUAACUCCGUGCCAGCCGCCGCGGUUAUAC